rnacentral:rRNA from 1 species
UACGUAGGGUGCAAGCGUUAAUCGGAAUUACUGGGCGUAAAGCGUGCGCAGGCGGUUUUGUAAGUCUGACGUGAAAUCCCCGGGCUCAACCUGGGAAUGGCGAUGAAGACUGCAAGGCUAGAAUCUGGCAGAGGGGGGUAGAAUUCCACGUGUAGCAGUGAAAUGCGUAGAGAUGUGGAGGAACACCGAUGGCGAAGGCAGCCCCCUGGGUCAAGAUUGACGCUCAUGCACGAAAGCGUGGGGAGCAAACAGG